rnacentral:misc_RNA from 1 species
GAUGAAGAACGUAGCGAAAUGCGAUAAGUAGUGUGAAUUGCAGAAUUCAGUGAAUCAUCGAAUCUUUGAACGCACAUUGCGCCCCUUGGUAUUCCAUGGGGCAUGCCUGUUCGAGCGUCAUUUGUACCCUCAAGCUUUGCUUGGUGAUGGGCGUUUGUUCCGCUGCAACGCGUGAACUCGCCUCAAAUCCAUUGGCAGCCGGCAAUCUGGUGUUUGAGCGCAGCACAUUUUGCGAUCCAGAUCAACGUACAGCGGCAUCCAAGAAGCCUUAUUUAACGCUCUUGACCUCGGAUCAGGUAGGGAUACCCGCUGAACUUAAGCAUAUCAAUAAGCGGAGGA